rnacentral:rRNA from 1 species
UACGUAGGGUGCGAGCGUUGUCCGGAAUUACUGGGCGUAAAGAGCUCGUAGGUGGUUUGUCGCGUUGUUCGUGAAACCGGGGCUUAACCCUCGGCGUGCGGGCGAUACGGGCAGACUUGAGUACUGCAGGGGAGACUGGAAUUCCUGGUGGUAGCGGUGGAAUGACGCAGAUAUCAGGAGGAACACCGGUGGCGAAGGCGGGAUCUCUGGGCAGUAACUGACGCUGGAGGAGCGAAAGCGUGGGGAGCGAACAGG